UGUCAUUGUAUAAUGGGUAUACAAUAAAAUUGGGAGCGCUGCUCCAUUUGGUGCUUAGAAAAAUAUGCAAUAAAAAUACAAUAAAGAAUAAUUAAAAAUAGAAAAAAUACAGUAAAAAUACAAUAAAAUCCAAUGGAAAAGAGUGGCAAUUGUGGAAAAACAAGAGCAUUUAGAUUGCACAUACAUGAUAAAGUGACUUAAGAGAUUCACUGUGAAAUAUUGCACGUGUAGUGUGUGUUCCCAGUGAUGUCAUUGUGUUCAUGUUUUUUUUGUUGUUCAGAGCACUGAUGGCUGUGGGGAAGAAACCGUCCCUGAGUCUAUUUGUUCUUGUUUUCUGUGCUCUGUAGCGCCGACCAGAGGGCAGAAGGUUGAACAGAUUGUGACUGGGGUGGAAUGGGUCUUUGAUAAUGUUUGUAGCUCUGCUGAGAUAGCGAGAGCUGGCGAUAUGGUCCAGGGAGGGGAGGGGGCAGCCAGCAUUGAUCACUCUCUGCAGCGCUCUCCUGUUGGCUGCAGUGCACCCAGCAUACCACACUGUGAUGCAGUACACCAGGAUGCUCUCAAUGUGGUUCUCCUAUUGGUUCUCCUUCAGGUUUACACUUUGAGCUCUGCAGCGCCACCAGCAGGUCCAUGUUGGAGUUUGUUUCUGAAGGUAACUUUUGAAAUGUCCUAAAAUGUUGUCGAAUUGAUUCCUUUAGAUCCAGAUCAGGUUUGUAAAAGCUGCUGUUGUAGAAGUUCCCACAUGCCCUGAACGCAGUAUAAUGAUAAGCAGCUGUCAAUCAGUCCGUGUGGACACGCCCCCUGUCGGCCUGAACAGCUAGAACACCUGAAGGACUGUGGAAGAAUUUUAAUGCGGAACGUUUCAAAUUAGGAGCUGAAGGUUUGGAAGUCUCAAAAUGAUUUAUUUUUAUUUUCAUUCACAAGAAGUUUUCAUUAAACAAUCAUAAUCACAGGAACUGGAGCCAGGACAAGAUUAAAGUCAGAUUAAAGUCAGAUUAAAGUCAGGUUAAAGUCAGAUUAAAGUCAGGUUAUAAAGUCAGGUUAAAGUCAGAUUAAAGUCAGAUUAAAGUCAGGUUAAAGUCAGAUUAAAGUCAGGUUGAAGUCAGAUUAAAGUCAAGUUAAAAUCCGAUUAUAAAGUCAGGUUAAAGUCACACUAAAGUCAGAUUAAAGUCAGACUAAAGUCAGGUUGAAGUCAGAAUUAAGUCAGAUUAAAGUCAGAAUUAAGUCAGACUAAAGUCAGACUAAAGUCAGACUAAAGUCAGGUUAAAGUCAGACUAAAGUCAGACUAAAGUCAGGUUAAAGUCAGAUUAAAGUCAGGUUAAAGUCAGACUAAAGUCAAGUUAAAGUCAGAUUAAAGUCAGGUUAAAGUCAGACUAAAGUCAGGUUAAAGUCAGAUUAAAGUCAGGUUGAAGUCAGACUAAAGUGAGGUUAAAGUCACAUUAAAGUCGGGUUAAAGUCAGACCAAAGUCAGAUUAAAGUCAGGUUAAAGUCAGACCAAAGUCAGAUUAAAGUCAGAUUAAAGUCAGUUUAAAGUCAGGUUAAAGUCAGACCAAAGUCAGAUUAAAGUCAGACUAAAGUCAGGUUAAAGUCAGAUUAAAGUCAGACCAAAGUCAGGUUAAAGUCAGACUAAAGUCAGAUUAAAGUCAGGUUAAAGUCAGAUUAAAGUCAGAUUAAAGUCAGGUUAAAGUCAGA